rnacentral:rRNA from 1 species
GCUGGCGGCGUGCUUAACACAUGCAAGUCGAACGCACCUUCGGGUGAGUGGCGGACGGGUGAGUAACGCGUGAGAAUCUGCCCUCAGGAGGGGGAUAACGGCUGGAAACGGCCGCUAAUACCCCAUAUGCCGCGAGGUGAAACGAGUUUUCGCCUGAGGAUGAGCUCGCGUCUGAUUAGCUAGUUGGUGGGGUAAGAGCCUACCAAGGCAUCGAUCAGUAGCUGGUCUGAGAGGAUGAUCAGCCACACUGGGACUGAGACACGGCCCAGACUCCUACGGGAGGCAGCAGUGGGGAAUUUUCCGCAAUGGGCGAAAGCCUGACGGAGCAACGCCGCGUGAGGGAUGAAGGCCUCUGGGCUGUAAACCUCUUUUCUCAAGGAAGAAGAUCUGACGGUACUUGAGGAAUAAGCCACGGCUAAUUCCGUGCCAGCAGCCGCGGUAAUACGGGAGUGGCAAGCGUUAUCCGGAAUUAUUGGGCGUAAAGCGUCCGCAGGCGGUCUUGAAAGUCUGUUGUUAAAGCGUGGAGCUUAACUCCAUUUCAGCAAUGGAAACUAGAAGACUAGAGUGUGGUAGGGGCAGAGGGAAUUCCCGGUGUAGCGGUGAAAUGCGUAGAUAUCGGGAAGAACACCAGUGGCGAAGGCGCUCUGCUGGGCCAUAACUGACGCUCAUGGACGAAAGCCAGGGGAGCGAAAGGGAUUAGAUACCCCUGUAGUCCUGGCCGUAAACGAUGAACACUAGGUGUCGGGGGAAUCGACCCCCUCGGUGUCGUAGCCAACGCGUUAAGUGUUCCGCCUGGGGAGUACGCACGCAAGUGCGAAACUCAAAGGAAUUGACGGGGGCCCGCACAAGCGGUGGAGAGUGUGGUUUAAUUCGAUGCAACGCGAAGAACCUUACCAGGGUUUGACAUCCUGCGAAUCCCUUGGAAACGAGGGAGUGCCUUCGGGAGCGCAGAGACAGGUGGUGCAUGGCUGUCGUCAGCUCGUGUCGUGAGAUGUUGGGUUAAGUCCCGCAACGAGCGCAACCCACGUCUUUAGUUGCCAGCAUUCAGUUGGGCACUCUAGAGAGACCGCCGGUGAUAAACCGGAGGAAGGUGUGGAUGACGUCAAGUCAUCAUGCCCCUUACAUCCUGGGCUACACACGUACUACAAUGCUACGGACAAAGGGCAGCAAACUCGCGAGAGCUAGCAAAUCCCAUAAACCGUGGCUCAGUUCAGAUCGUAGGCUGCAACUCGCCUACGUGAAGGAGGAAUCGCUAGUAAUCGCAGGUCAGCAUACUGCGGUGAAUACGUUCCCGGGCCUUGUACACG